rfam:Populus trichocarpa scaffold_6_contig_79, whole genome shotgun sequence.
UCUAACACUCGAGAUAUAGGCUGAAUACUAAAUAGUGUCUGGGCUGCAGGAUAGAUUCUGACUUCUCCGUUGUUGCUACCAUUUGAAUUAAGAAAUAACACUUUUAAAUCUUGGACUCUCAUGAAAGUUUUAGGCCUAUGUCUUAGCUUUCCAUG